UCCAGCCCAGAGCAACAUUUUAUGAUCCAGUGUCAAGUUCCUGAAAAAUGAAAAAUGAGGGGAAAGAGGGUUUAACUGUAACAUGGAUACAUUUUGGACUGGAUGUUAACCAAUUGAAAAAGGUAAUGCGCCAGAGUCUAUCCAUGGUCUGAGGAUAAAAAGACAAAUAACACGUGGUUACUGCUUUCAUUAUCCACUGGAAAGGAAAACCAGCUUUAUGAGCCAGGAGCACUCAGAUCAAUUUGGAGCCACUCACGUCAGCAAUCCGGAAAUGGAUGGUAACUCUCUUGGGCUACUUCCCUGACAUCUGGAAUCCAUGAAGAGUUCAAGACAUUGCUGGAAGCAGAGAUGGAUAAGAUGUUACCCACACUGGUUCUGGCCCCUGUGAUCCAUUUACCCUGAGGAGAAAUU